rnacentral:rRNA from 1 species
UACGGAGGGUGCAAGCGUUAAUCGGAAUUACUGGGCGUAAAGCGCGCGUAGGUGGUUCAGUAAGUUGGAUGUGAAAUCCCCGGGCUCAACCUGGGAACUGCAUCCAAAACUGCUGAGCUAGAGUACGGUAGAGGGUGGUGGAAUUUCCUGUGUAGCGGUGAAAUGCGUAGAUAUAGGAAGGAACACCAGUGGCGAAGGCGACCACCUGGACUGAUACUGACACUGAGGUGCGAAAGCGUGGGGAGCAAACAGG